GGUAGUCACUACCGGAGCCUAAGCAGCCGCCAUCUUGGAUUGCCGCUUCAGAGCGGCUGGCGCGCGCCGAGUCAAAGCGGCAGCAGCGCUGUUAGCCGCUUUGAGUCAGAGGUGCUGCUUUACUCAGCCGACAGACCUGUGGCGCCAUUCGGCUCCGUUUAGUCAGCCGGCAGGUCUGCGAGUCUGUUUAGUCCGCUGUCAGGUCAGCGGCUUACAGGAGUUGAUGGGUUCCUGUUGCACAUGCCUUCCUGGGAAGACAUGAACAAAUGUCUGCUUGCCCAAGAUGGGCGACCAACACUUCACCAAGGAGCAGCUCCAUCCAAGGCUGAGUGCUGAGCCAGUGAUCUCUCUGAGAGCAGACAAGGUGACAACUGAGCUGCCGACUCUCUGAGGAGAAGGCCCCAGCACAGUAAAGACUCAUGAAAACUGCACCCAGGAAGUGCUUACUGCUUACACCUCUUGGAUGAGUAUAGCCGCCCGCGGCCACAAGUCAACUGGGUUCACCUGAAAGGGGGGCUGGGAAUGAAAGGGGACAGAGGGCGAGAAGAGAUGAAGCCAAGACAAAGUUCUCUGAUCGAGGCUCAAAGCUUUAAUGUUCAGCUCUCAAUUUAAAGGGGAAGACCCAACCCACAACCCCUCCUGGUUUCAGAUGGGUGGGAUAAUCCAUAGUCCGUUCCAGGUCUCAAGGCAAGCCCAGGGGCAGUUCUGCUUCUGUGUUCUGGGCAGCCAAGCAACCAGUGGCCCCUGACCAGAUGCAAGCCCUGCAAGUACCCAAUGGCGAAACCCAGGCCCCUGGGCCUGCACACAUCUACUGGGCCUCUCUGGUGAGACUGGGCUAUCUCGACUCUGCUGGGAUGUCUCUGUGGAAACCCAGCAGGACCUUCUCCUUGGAUUUUGGUCACAGGAUUGGCAGAAAACCACCCAUGGAAAACCAGUUUUUGUCACCUUUUUUUUUUUUUUUUAAAGAUUUAUUUAUUUUAUGUAUGAAGUACACUGUUGCUGUCUUCAGACACACCAGAAGGGGGCAUCAGAUCCCAUUACAGAUGGUUGUGAGUCACCAUGUGGUUGCUGGGAAUUGAACUCAGGACCUCUGGAAGAACAGUCAGUGCUCUUAACCACUGAGCCAUGUCUCCAGCCCCCGUCACCUGCUUUUAUCAAGAAAGCAUUCUGGGAACCCAGACCCGAUCUUUCCUGUCCAUGCUGUCUGUGGCUGCCCUCAGACCUCAGGAGCAGAGCUGAACAGCUACUGCCCAGGAGUAAACAGCCUAAUGUGCUCGCUCUGUGGCCCUGGAGGAGGCAGCUUGCCAGGGGAACUGCUGUGCUGUGGACAGACAGGACUACACAACAAGGUUCCCUGCUCGCUCCCUGCAGAGCUCCGAGGCACCAGCAUGAGGUCACGUGUUCGGAAGACAGUCUAUUUCCAGCAGUGAUUUCUCACACAUCUUCCAUCUUCAAAGCCUUCAAAGGAAGCCGUCCUCUAAGCUGCAGCAAAGGGUGCUGGGAACCACUUGGCACUAUAGAUGUUCUGAGAAGCUGUUAAGAAUGUGAGUACCGGGAGGCCGCCGCGGUAGCCAUUUUCAGUGCAGGAUGUGACAGGAGGAUGGCGAUGAGGAAACAGGAGCUCGGAACCAGGGAGCUGCCUGCCGCUGCCCACACUAGACUUCUUCAAUACAAGGGAAGAACCUCCACCCUGGGCAUCGACUACUGAAGAGCCCCGCAGACUGAACCGGCUUCUGGAUGGUAACCACUAGGAGAUGGAAUCUUUUCCCCAUGUUCCUAAGUCAGAUCCACAAGUGUCCUCAUAAAGGAGAAUUCAGAUGCAAUUCUGUUAGCUGGGCGUGCUUCCUGACAGGACAGCUGACAGCCAAAGUGUAUUGGUCUCACGUUAUUAAACAUUCCUGUUUAUGUAACAUCCCCCCCCCCCUCCUAAUUUUAGGUAAACCUGGACAUAUUUUUCAUCCGUUCAGAGCUCAGUUAUUUAAGAUGUCCUAAUGAGUCACACCACACUUAUAUUAACUUCUUCAGAGACAUCAUGCUUUUAAACUUUGUUUAUUUCUAACCGCACCUUAUGUCCCCACACUGCCAGCCAUUCCUCAUCCCUCAGCAUAUGCAGUGUUUAAAGCUCUUCUCGGGGUUAACACAGCUAAACCCUGGGAACAGUCUGCCCAGGCAGAUUGAGUAGAAGACACUCCACUGUAUUUUUAGAAACACUUCCAAAGAUUAUUCCUCUAGAACAAUGUAACAGCUUGACAUGGUGACUUAUGUCUGUAGGCACCUGGGAGGCCGAGGCAGAAGGAUUGCCAAGAAUCUGAGAGUAGCUUGGCCUACAUAGUGAGUUUCAGGCCACCCAGAGCUACCGUGAAAGACAACGUCUAUAAAUAAAUAAAUAAGUCAAAAACAAAAGAAAAAUGUAUCAGGAGAAAGGGGCCCAGGGUGGAACUCAACGGCAGAACAGGUGCUUAGUCUUUGCAGGCUCUUGAAUUCCCCAGUACCAUUCUCUUAAAAAAGAGCAGAUGCAGCUGGUCUUUGCUACUUUGUGGGUUCUCCUUUUCCCACCCUUUAUCCCCUCCCAGUUUCACUCCCUAUCACUAGGUAGGAGAGAGGGGAGGGGAGGGGAAGGGAAAGAGGGGGAAGGAAGGGGAAAAGAGGGGAGGGGAGAUCCCUGGAUCUAAUUUCUUACCUUUUGUUUCUUCUUUGACCACGGCUGCUAACAAACCCCAACCAACCUCCUCUGAAAGAACAAAACACCCUACCCUUCCUCUUGGGGCUCUAGCUAAAAAGUUCCCAGAAUUCCAAAUGUCACACAAUCACAGAAACUAUCUGCAGCUGGCAAACCCAUUGCUUCUGCUAGAGCACAAGGCAAAUCACUGUCAGCUGCUUCCGACAGUCGGACAGUGGAAGCUGCCCAACCUCCCACACCUGGGAUUAAAAUGAAAGCACUGGAACUCACUCUGUAGACCAGGCUAGCCUCGAACUCAGAAAUCCGCCUGCCUCUGCCUCCCAAGUGCUGAGAUUAAAGGCGUGUGUGCUCCACCACC